rnacentral:rRNA from 1 species
AAUGAUUACCCUGAAACGGUGGAUCACUUGGCUUCGUGGGUCGAUGAAGAACGCAGCUAAUUGC